UACGUAGGGGGCGAGCGUUGUCCGGAUUUAUUGGGCGUAAAGAGCGUGUAGGCGGCCAGGUAGGUCUGCUGUGAAAACUCGAGGCUCAACCUCGAGACGUCGGCGGAAACCAUCUGGCUAGAGUCCGGAAGAGGAGAGUGGAAUUCCUGGUGUAGCGGUGAAAUGCGUAGAUAUCAGGAGGAACACCGAUGGCGAAGGCAGGUCUCUGGGCUGACACUGACGCUCAUGCACGAAAGCGUGGGGAGCAAACAG
rnacentral:rRNA from 1 species